UACGAAGGGGGCUAGCGUUGCUCGGAAUCACUGGGCGUAAAGCGCACGUAGGCGGAUUGUUAAGUCAGGGGUGAAAUCCUGGAGCUCAACUCCAGAACUGCCUUUGAUACUGGCGAGUCUCGAGUCCGGGAGAGGUGAGUGGAACUGCGAGUGUAGAGGUGAAAUUCGUAGAUAUUCGCAAGAACACCAGUGGCGAAGGCGGCUCACUGGCCCGGUACUGACGCUGAGGUGCGAAAGCGUGGGGAGCAAACAGG
rnacentral:rRNA from 1 species